rnacentral:lncRNA from 1 species
GUAGUAAGCAUUAAUAAUGUCUUUCAUCUUUGAGUGGAUCUACAAUGGCUUCAGCAGUGUGCUCCAGUUCCUAGGACUGUACAAGAAAUCUGGAAAACUUGUAUUCUUAGGUUUGGAUAAUGCAGGCAAAACCACUCUUCUUCACAUGCUCAAAGAUGACAGAUUGGGCCAACAUGUUCCAACACUACAUCCGAGUAGGUUUGAAAAUAUCAGGUGACCUUUUGAUCUUUAAAGGUCAGUGUUAGGCGUGGAGGAUGAAUCCCUAGUUGGUGGAGUUCUUUUAUUAACUGAAGUCCCAAAAGCCAACUCAUACGAGAAAGUUCCCUGUAAGACACACUCAGGUUAUGUACUUUCAGAUCUAAACCUCUGGAACUUUGUCAUUAUCUGUUGUCACUGGUCCUGUAAAGGGACACCUCUCCUAUACCUACUUCUAAGAAGUGGAAAAUAGCUUGGAAGAAAAGAAACCUUUGGCUUUUAGAAUAGUUUAAGAACAUUUCACCCUUGUAUUCCUUUUCUUUGUUGGGAGUGG